CAGGUAUGAGUCACCAGCACCUGGCUAGAAUGCCUUCUUUUAAGAUUUAGAAAUGCUUAAAGGUUUAUUAAUCACUUUUCAUUUAAUCAUAUGAAACCAAAGUAUUUCCUGGAAGAAGCAACUCUUUUUUUUUUGUUUUGUUUUGUUUUAGAAACAGCUUAAGAGUCUAACUGUGACUGCUGGGGAGUACAAUCUCUCUCAUAAAGAAGAGCAAGAAUAGAAUAUUCCUGUCUAAAAAUUAUUAUACAUCCUGAGUAUAACCACCUGGGAUUUAUGAAUUCUGAUACUGUACUGCUAUAUCUAAAACACGAAGUGAAGUUUGAGGGACUCUGGAAGACCCCUAGUUUGUAGAAGAAGUAGUAGAACAUGGACUCUCGCCAGGAUAACUUCCUGGGUAGCUGGUUUUGCUAAAGGCUCAGGUCCUCUAAGAAAUAACUGCAGAAUAACAUCAGCAGGCAUCUUUUCUGAGGUGGCUGAGUUCAUGGAUUUUAUCAUUUAAAAUAUAAUCACAGAUUGUAAACAUCAGAUGACAGUGUUAUUUGGAGAAAGAAAGAAAGAAGAUUCAUUACCCCUAUUCCAAAGAAGAUACCUGUCCUUAUAAGUGGUAUGUAUCCCAGGUAGGAAUGAUUCUCCUUACCCCCAAAUCAGACAGUUAAAGUGACUAUAUUU